rnacentral:rRNA from 1 species
UCGAGGAUCUUCGGCAAUGGGCGCAAGCCUGACCGAGCGACGCCGCGUGUGCGAUGAAGGCCUUCGGGUUGUAAAGCACUGUCGAGGGGGAGGAAAGCCCGCAAGGGCCUGACCUAUCCCUGGAGGAAGCACGGGCUAAGUUCGUGCCAGCAGCCGCGGUAAGACGAACCGUGCGAACGUUGUUCGGAUUCACUGGGCUUAAAGGGCGCGUAGGCGGGCGGCAACGUCGGGGGUGAAAUCUCACGGCCCAACCGUGAAACGGCCUCCGAUACGGGCCGCCUCGAGGGAGGUAGGGGCACGCGGAACUUCCGGUGGAGCGGUGAAAUGCGUAGAUAUCGGAAGGAACGCCGGUGGCGAAAGCGGCGUGCUGGGCCUUCUCUGACGCUGAGGCGCGAAAGCCAGGGGAGCGAACGGGAUUAGAUACCCCCGUAGUCC